GAGGGUAUAGCUCAAGUGGUAGAGCACAUGCUUAGCAUGCAGAAGGUCCUGGGUUCAAUCCCCAGUACCUCCU
rfam:Camelus ferus unplaced genomic scaffold scaffold715, whole genome shotgun sequence.